AUUGAACGCUGGCGGCAUGCCUUACACAUGCAAGUCGAACGGCAGCGCGGGAGCAAUCCUGGCGGCGAGUGGCGAACGGGUGAGUAAUAUAUCGGAACGUGCCCAGUAGUGGGGGAUAGCCCGGCGAAAGCCGGAUUAAUACCGCAUACGACCUACGGGUGAAAGGGGGGGAUCGCAAGACCUCUCGCUAUUGGAGCGGCCGAUAUCAGAUUAGGUAGUUGGUGGGGUAAAGGCCUACCAAGCCUGCGAUCUGUAGUUGGUCUGAGAGGACGACCAGCCACACUGGGACUGAGACACGGCCCAGACUCCUACGGGAGGCAGCAGUGGGGAAUUUUGGACAAUGGGCGCAAGCCUGAUCCAGCAAUGCCGCGUGCAGGGAGAAGGCCUUCGGGUUGUAAACUGCUUUUGUCAGGGAAGAAAUCCUCUAGGCUAAUACCUUGGGGGGAUGACGGUACCUGAAGAAUAAGCACCGGCUAACUACGUGCCAGCCGCCGCCGUAACAC
rnacentral:rRNA from 1 species